UGGGUUGUGGCUCAGUGAUAGAGUACUUGCCUGGCAUGUAUGGGGCACUAGGUUCAAUUCUCAGCACCACAU
rfam:Ictidomys tridecemlineatus contig034107, whole genome shotgun sequence.